UAAGAUUAUCCAGCACUGCAUCUCGUA
rnacentral:piRNA from 1 species